rnacentral:lncRNA from 1 species
GCCACCAAUCUUGCAAUAAUAUCUGUGAGAGGAUCACAUGGUAAGAUGAGUGAGCAGUUAUAAAAUGUUGGAGACUGAGACAGCAUGGAAUCUAGGUCACCAAUCAAAUAAAGAUCCCUUUGUUUCAUGAAGAUUUGAUAAGAAUAAAUGAAAGAAGUGUAUAUGUAGUAGACGCUUAUAGAGUCAACAAGAGAAUGUGAUACAAAGAAUCCUCAUAGUUAGUGUGCGUGUGUUGGCCAAGCGGUACGGAGUUAAUGCUUGAGGUCAAAGGUAUUGGUUCGAUUAAUACUGUUAAUUUAUCAGAGAAAAAAAGGAAAAGAAAAGAAAGAAUCCUCAUAUUAGUGCAUAAGUAACUCUACAUAACAUCACCUUUGGCCUUUGGCUACUAUAUUCAAAAUUUAAUUUGGGUCUCCCCUCUUUCCUAACUAAAUCCUCAAAAAGUGGGAAUGCACACUCAAAGAACAAGCACCAACUACAUCCCUGAUCUGACCAGAUUAAACAAAUGAACUGCUACAUCAACCACAAGAGUAGAUGGCUACAAUGACAUAUCUUGCCAAUGACAUAUCUUGCCAACUUUCUUCCAGAAGCUGCUUCUGCAGAUUGAACCAGCUUUGCUUCCUCGUAUCUUUUGCUAUCCGGGAAGCUGCCUCUGUGGGAGCGUUUACUUUGCAUGAUUGAUAAGAUGCAUGUUUGAGUAUUUUUAUCCUCAAGAGUAGGAUUUCUCCAAUCUCAUCCUUUGAAUGGGAUAUGAAUCAAACAGAAUUAACUUAAAUGAUAAAAAUAAUCAAGGGCCUUGGGAUAUCCCACAGUUUCAAUCCAUCAAAGUAAACAAGGGAUUAACCUUCAAAGUAAACGUCCCCUGUGUGAAUGGUAAGAAAGAGAGCUCAAAAAAUGGAAAAAUCACUUGCUUGGUACAUUUUUGCCUUUGUAAAAGAAACCUAACCAACAUUUAUCUUCUAAGGGUGUGUUUACUUUGAUAGAAAAUGUUAGAAAAAAUAUAUUUUCCAUCAUUUUCACAUGUUUCCUAUGAUGGAUAAUUUUCUCCGAUCAGACUGUAAAAUUUAUUCGGGCAGCCCAUUUUCACUCAUUUUCUCACAAAUGUUGGAUAAUAUUAUCCUAUUGGGAGGGUGUGAAAAUUAUUUCCAGCAUUUCAAUUUGUUUAUCCAUCUAUUUCUAUCAAAGUAAACACAUGAUAAAAAAAAGGAGAAAAAGAUAAUAUUACCUCAACUUUUCUUAUCCAUCCUUUUCAAAUGAAAAUUUUACAACCAAAGUAAACACACCCUAAAACUCAAAAGAGCAGUAUCACAGUAGAACCAGAAAAUAAAAAAUUUCCAAGUACACCGACACUUUGUUACAGCUGUGAACAUGGGAUAGUAAAAAAUUGGAUCUUUAUCCAAAACUAGUAUAUCCCAUUCGUGCGAUGCACGACAGACAUCGAAAUUAAAUGAUAAAUUUAAAUAAUAAAUAAAAUAAUAUAAAAAAUACAAAAUAUGUUUUAAAAUAAAAUAUAAUAAUUCACAUCAAUUACUCAAUAAAAUUCUGAAUUUAAAAAUAUAAAUUUUCAAUUUAUACAAAGUGUAAUGAUAUUAUAAUUAUUAAAUAAAUUUAAAAAUGAUUCGAUAAUGAAAAUUUGCAUUAUGCAUAUUAUUAUAUAGUAUUAUUAAUCAUAAUAAAUAUUUUUCGCAUAUAAACAUAAAUAAAAAGUUGUAAAUUUUUAAUGAGGAGAUAGAAAAUAAAAUAUUUUAAAAUUUUCAUAACUUGUUCAUUUUAAAUUCAUUUUUGAUAAUUUUUAUACUAUAUUAAAUUUAAGAUACAUAUUGAUUUUUUGUUCAUGAAUCAAAUUUGAUGAUGUUUAGAAAAAUAAUUAAAUUAUAAAAAAUAAAAAGAAAAAAUAGUAAAAAUUUUGGUGGAAGAAGAGAGAGAAAGAUUUCACACAGAUAGUGUACUUUGAUCCUCAACUUCUCUCAUAUGCAUAUCAUAUGCAAUAAAUUACAAUCAAACAAAGCAUAUGGCUCACACUGAUAUUAGUCAUUAAUUAUGAAUAAAGCAUAUCUUAAAUUCCUCCAUUCAUACCUCUUGGAAUUUUGUUAUCUAACCAGCCCAGGCCAUUUACAACUGCUAAAUCCUUCAACACCCAUCUCUGCAAAAAUCAAAAAUCAAAAAUCAAAUUAAAAAAAAUACCCAAAUAGCCUGCCGCCUUUACCUGCUGUUUGGAACUUUGGCAUUGGAAUAAUAUUUUUAAUUAACACUAAUUUAUUGCCAAACAAAUAAGACCUUCAAUUUCUAAAGUUU